CACUUCGGUGGGAGCGGCGGACGGGUUAGUAACGCGUGGGAACGUACCCUUCUCUAAGGAAUAGCCACUGGAAACGGUGAGUAAUACCUUAUACGCCCUUCGGGGGAAAGAUUUAUCGGAGAAGGAUCGGCCCGCGUUAGAUUAGGUAGUUGGUGGGGUAACGGCCUACCAAGCCUACGAUCUAUAGCUGGUUUGAGAGGAUGAUCAGCAACACUGGGACUGAGACACGGCCCAGACUCCUACGGGAGGCAGCAGUGGGGAAUCUUAGACAAUGGGGGAAACCCUGAUCUAGCCAUGCCGCGUGAGUGACGAAGGCCCUAGGGUCGUAAAGCUCUUUCGCUGGGGAAGAUAAUGACUGUACCCAGUAAAGAAACCCCGGCUAACUCCGUGCCAGCAGCCGCGGUAAUACGGAGGGGGUUAGCGUUGUUCGGAAUUACUGGGCGUAAAGCGCGCGUAGGCGGGCUAUUAAGUCAGAGGUGAAAUCCCAGGGCUCAACCCUGGAACUGCCUUUGAUACUGGUAGCCUUGAGUUCGAGAGAGGUGAGUGGAAUUGCGAGUGUAGAGGUGAAAUUCGUAGAUAUUCGCAGGAACACCAGUGGCGAAGGCGGCUCACUGGCUCGAUACUGACGCUGAGGUGCGAAAGUGUGGGGAGCAAACAGGAUUAGAUACCCUGGUAGUCCACACCGUAAACGAUGAAUGCCAGUCGUCGGGUAGCAUGCUAUUCGGUGACACACCUAACGGAUAAGCAUCCGC
rnacentral:rRNA from 1 species